UAGGGAAUCUUUGGCAAUGGGGGGAACCCUGACCGAGCAACGCCGCGUGAGUGAAGAAGGAUUUCGGUUCGUAAAACUCUGUUUUUAGAGAAGAACAGCGCAUAGAGUAACUGUUAUGCGUGUGACGGUACUUAACCAGAAAGGGACGGCUAACUACGUGCCAGCAGCCGCGGUAAUACGUAGGUCCUGAGCGUUGUCCGGAUUUAUUGGGCGUAAAGCGAGAGCGGGCGGUUAGAUAAGUCUGAAGUUAAAGGCAGUGGCUCAACCAUUGUAGGCUUUGGUAACUGUUUAACUUGAGUGCGGAAGGGGAGAGUGGAAUUCCAUGUGUGGCGGUGAAAUGCGUAGAAAUAUGGAGCAACACCGGUGGGGAGGGCGGCUCUCUGGUCUGUAACUGUCGCUGAGGCUCGAAAGCGUGGGGAGCGAACAGG
rnacentral:rRNA from 1 species